AUAAAACAUUUUCAGAGACCCUGAACAGCAGCCCACCUGUGUUUUAAUUGCUCCUCUAUGAGGAGUGUGGAUACAGCUGGAAGGUGAUCUGCAGAAGUCUCCUGGAAGUACUUCACAGUUUUAUUUGCCAAGGCCAUCCCAAACUUACUCAGAUUUGCAACCACUUGAACAGAAGAGGCAGAUGUGGCCACUGAGAUAAAUUUCACUGAAAUGCCACUGCAGUCCUCUGCCUGCACAGAAGCUCAUUUAGCACUGUAUACGGAGUUUGUGAAAAGCUCUGUAUGAGAACCUCUCAGGUGUCUUUUUUUUUUUUUUUUUUUUUUUACUGCUAACAGUAUUGUUGUGCACUACAGAGAGAACAGGAGAUUUACCACUAACAGUUCUUCUUUAUCAUGUCCAUUUUCCAAAUAUCACAAGUAAAUUAUUCAGCAGAAAAAAAAUCCUGUAAUGAAAGGUCAUAAUCAGAAAUCAUAUGAGGAUAAGGAAGGUCUUCCAGAGCUGCUAUUGCAAACACAGACCUGAACUGUGAUACAUGGCUAAGGGGGAAAAAAAAAAAAAAAAGAACAGGAAAGAGAUAUGGAAAGAGAAGAAAGGGAAAAGGGAAAGGAAAAAGAGGCAUAAAUGAGAAGAGAAUGGAAGGACAUGAACUUCUGCUAGCCACAGUGCAUGACAACUAAAGGAUCCGAGUUGCACAAACUUCUUCCGACUCCUGAGGGAGUAGAUAUUUUGAUGUCAGUGAGAAAGCUCCUGCAAGGUUUUAGGGUCUCCCCUCUCCAGAGAGGAGAAAGGGGCAGCAAGGUGAGUUGAAAAUACUCUCGCAGGCGUCGGGACCUGCUGUGAAGGAGCACUGUCAGGACAGUCCAGAUGCAGAUGGCCAUGAGUGUGUCAGCUGGCAGCCAGCUCACCAAGCAGAUUUAGCCAGUUACUGGAAUCCCUGUUUAGAUGCUGGAUUUGCUGCCUCUGUCUUGUGUGCUGCAUAGCCAAGACACAUCAGGUCACCCCCAGGCUGCAGGUAGCAGGGGAAGCAGAGAAGGAGGAGAGGCUUUGCCAGCCAGGCAGUCUAGCUGGCAGUUGGUCUGCCUUUGGCAGCUCUUCAGUGCUCUUUCUAGGUGAACUGAACACAGCUAAACAUCAAAGCAGCUUCCAAUUCUGUUCUGAUGGUGUCUUGCAUCCAGUUCAAGGUGAACAGUUUUGUAUCGGUAUGUUCCACAUAGAAAUCCCAGAGGGUACAUGGAUUGCCACCUACAUCAAAGAGUUGCAGAAGCCAGUGCUGAUUCCAGGUGCUUCCAGGUUUUGCUUGAUGAUGAAAGAGGAUGAGGAAGAAGGAAGGAUUCUAAAACAGAUUCUUGAGCUGCAGAAUCGUACCUUUGCUGGCAACAGGCCUUGCUCUUCUCGCCAGGGUCAACGGUAUCAGUUGCCUGUUUGUGUGCUACAACUGGCAGUCUGUUCCAAGAGGUAAACCAAUUAGUCUUGGGCCAGAUACAUCUUCUGCAGCAUUUCUGUGGUCUUGAUCAGGAGCUCAGUGCCAAAAGUAGGAAUUGGAUAGAGAAAGCCAUGGUUUCUUCAGCCAGGUAGCGUAUCUGGGUUUGCACUACACGGCACCCCUUAGGGCUUGGGAUCUCCAUCACGUGAAAAUAGUUACCUGUGAUCCCAGUCUCAAUUCUGAGAGGAGCUACUGUCAUAGCAAUCUAUUGCCUUCUUGAGAUGCAGCUGAAUCUCAACCUAUGUUCCCUUUGCUAGGCUGUGUACUUGGCUUUCCAGCCUUCACAGAUGCUAAAGAGCAAAUGAACAGAUCUUAAAUUCUAAACUGAGUCACCUCACACACUUGGCUUCAGAUUGUGCUCCCAAUCAUUUGUUUGUCUUCCAGGUUGGGAACUCUCCAAGUGUUUCUGACACUCGGUUACAAACAUUGCAAGUAAAGGAAAGAGUAAAAGAAAGACUCCAGGGCUCCCGGAUGACAGCUGCCUUGACAAUGGCUAGAUGAGCAAGCAAGGAUACCAGAAGUGAAGCUGUGUGCAUCUCUUGCCUCUGUAAGGGAAAAAGGAACUCUUGGUCACAUCCCAACCAUGGAAAUAUCUCAAUAUUUUCAGUGCAUGAGAGAUAGAUACAAUAACAAAUAGCACAGUGAUUUUUACACCUAUGCUACAUAAUCAUUUAGCCACUUCUUCAGUUGCACAACAGAACUUUGCACUCUUUUGGAGUUUCAUUCUGCAGAGUGAAGAACAAGAGCAGUAGCUUUCAAUUAUUUUACAGGCACUGCAAUGUGGCAGCAAUGGAUUGCAGACAAUCAUGAGCUGAGUUUGAAACAGGCAGCUCUAGCACUUACAACAGGAUAAAGUGGCACAGGGAGCUCAGCACUUUAAUGCCAAGUAGGUUGUAUUUUGCCUCCCAAGCAACAUGGUCACAUGUGGAACUCCACAUAACCAUGGCUUCAAGCAUCCAGCUUUGCUAGCUUAUAUACCACUUUGCUGCAAUGAAGAGAUAUGGAAGCUACAAAGGAGGCCUAGCAAGGAGCAUUUCAUAUGCAGGCUUGAGGAUACUUAAAUAGAGUUGACUUCAAAUUGUUCUUUUGGGGAAAAAAAAAGACAACUAAAUCAGGAGAAAACAGGAUGUAUCUGAAUUGUUCUAACAAAUUCUUAAUGAUAAUUGAAAAUAUUUUAAGUUGAAACAACUCCUUUUCCUCUCCUGCUCCUUCAAGCUCUCUAAGGCUGUGUUUAGAAAACACUGAAGUCAAACUGACCACUUGGUAAAUGGGGGGUUCUGAAAUUAGUGAGGCUGAACCUCAGCUGAAGUUGUCUAAGCCAUUGGUUGCUGGCUUUGAAUUCGUUCUCAUAAAGUUGCUCACAGCAGCGACACAUUUGGAAAUGCAGAGAUGACUUAAGAAAAGGGUUAUAAAAGACUUUACUAAUGAAUGUGUGUCACAACUGCUUUGGCUCUUGUUCCCAUAGCAUACUUCCAACAAAAUCAAAUGUAGAUUCCUAAGGGCAUAAGUUGGAAGUCAUCCUGCCUCAAAGAGCUUGGACCUCUCUCUUAAGUAGGACAGAACUCUGCUGAGACCUCACGGAAGUAUUGACUGCAAAUGACUGUGGGCAACAAUUUCAAAGAACCUUCAGAGAUUUACUUGUAUAGUUAUUGUCUCUUAAGAGAGAGAGAGAGAGUUAAUAGGUACAGUUGCUUUAUUCAUGAAUCUCAGAAUUAAUUUUAAUCCAGCAUUCUAAUAAGUGUUCAAGGCAUUUUACUUCAUCGUUUUCAGGUCUUGUCCCCUAGACAAAAAGGUCUAUUUUUAACUUGUACCACUUCAAUCAAGUUACAACCUGAAAUUAGUAAUACAACUCAACCUACUAACUGGUGCAUGGAAUAGUUAAACAGAGGUCACAGUAAAUGCCAGCAGCACUUUCUGUAAAACAAAUACACAACAAGCAAAGACAUGACCAGUCAGUAAAUAAAGGUGAGUUGAAAUCAACUUUGUUGGAAAGGAAAAGUGUUAUAAUGAAAUUACAGUGCUUUGGAAGACUUAAAGUGAUGUCCACCAUAAAAGAUAAAAUUAAUUUACUGGAAAUAAACUUGUGAAUAUGAGUACCAUUUUGUGAAAGGCCAAGUUCUGACAUUUAGUAAAGCUGUAAAAAUGUUUUUGAAAGCAGCCCUUCAUUGUGAUUAUCACUGUUCUUAUGCAUUAAAAUUGAAAGAACUAAGAAAGACCAAAAAGGACUGAAAGAGUAAAAUAUUUUGCAAUUUCAAAGUAUUUGAUACAUUGAAGCUUUAAGAUGUUUUAAUACUCCUUGCUCUGCAAACAUGCUUCAGUUUGUUAAUAAAGAAAUGUUCUGAUACAAAGCAUCCACGAGGAUUAACAUGCAAAUAAAAUGCAUAUGAC
rnacentral:lncRNA from 1 species